UACGUAGGGUGCGAGCGUUUGUCCGGAAUUAUUGGGCGUAAAGAGCUCGUAGGCGGUUUGUUGCGUCGGCCGUGAAAACUUCACGCUUAACGUGGAGCUUGCGGUCGAUACGGGCAGACUUGAGUUCGGUAGGGGAGACUGGAAUUCCUGGUGUAGCGGUGAAAUGCGCAGAUAUCAGGAGGAACACCGGUGGCGAAGGCGG
rnacentral:rRNA from 1 species